rnacentral:rRNA from 1 species
UACGAAGGGGGCUAGCGUUGCUCGGAAUGACUGGGCGUAAAGGGCGCGUAGGCGGUUUGUACAGUCAGGUGUGAAAUUCCCGGGCUCAACCUGGGGGCGGCACUUGAGACGUAGGAACUGGAGUGAGGAAGAGGGUCGUGGAAUUCCCAGUGUAGAGGUGAAAUUCGUAGAUAUUGGGAAGAACACCAGUGGCGAAGGCGGCUCACUGGCCCGUAACUGACGCUGAGGUGCGAAAGCGUGGGGAGCAAACAGG